rnacentral:tRNA from 1 species
GCUGCGGUGGUGGAAUUGGUAGACACGCUAGCUUGAGGGGCUAGUGCUUCACGGUGUAAGAGUUCGAGUCUCUUCCGCAGCACCA